UGAGCGCUUGUUUUUCGAGGACUGUCCGACCUGAGAAUUGUGAUCUCGGGCUCAAUCUCAGGUUCGUCAGCCCACGGAAAGCCGACUCGCCUCA
ensembl:miRNA